AUACAGUGAUGUGGACACCUUCUCAGUAGUUCCUUAUACCUUUCACAGACUUCAUAUAAUGAUUCUCCUUCUUGCUGGAUGAAAGAUGUAAUUUCUCCUCUCAAUUU